rnacentral:lncRNA from 1 species
UUCCAUUUCUCUAAUAAUUAGUGAUGUUGGGCAUCUAUCUUAUCAUGUGUCUGUUUGCCAUCCGUAUGUCUUCUUUGGAGAAAUGUCUAUUUAGGUCUGCCCAUUUUUCGAUUGGGUUGUUUUGUUGUGGUCGUUGAGUUGUAUGAGCUGUUGGUAUAUUUUAGAGAUUAAGUCCUUGUCAGUCUCAUCAUUUGCAAAUAUUUUCUCUCAUUCCAUAGGCUGUCUUUUCAUUUCGUUCGUGGUUUCCUUUGCUGGCAAAAGCUUGUAAGUUUGAAUAAGUCCCAUUUUUUUUAUUUCACUUUUACUUCUAUUGCUGUGGGUAAAUCCAUCAGCUUUUCAUUCUGCUCAGUGCCUUUUCUAGAAUCUCUGUCUUUUCCUUGCAUUUUGUUCUUUCAAUUUUUUUAACAGUCUUCAAUUUUCUCAAACAAAGGAAGAUUGAUUAGGACCUUCGAUCAUGCUUCAGGUGCUCCAUUCUUGGAAGAUGAAGUGCUUCUUCAAAAAUCCUUUCCAAACAAGCUCUCAAGUCAAUUACUCUCUUUUGAAACUCAAAGAGAGAAGACUACAAUAUUUGAGUAACUUGAAUAAAUGUUAUGUGACCCUGCCUUGGCUCUAAAAUAAGAGUACCCCCAAAAGUAAAAGUAUUUCAAUUAUUGGUUCUAAGUGGUUAAUUCUUUUAAACAAUUAACUUAUAUUGUUUUUCACUAAAAAUUUUUUAAAUUCUCUUUUUCCUGUCUAGACUCUGGAGACUACCAGAAUUUUGUUCAUUAGCAAGGAAUUCUUCUGGGUCUUUCAGAGGAUGCUAAGACUCAUGGACAUGUUUCUGCCCUUUUGGGAAAAGUCCAGGUCCUUCUUCUAUCCAUAUGUUGUCAUGUCCUAUACACGAAAAUAAUAACUCUGAGCUGAUUACUUUUACUACAAAUUUUAUCUCCAAAAGCCCCAAACUCCACUUUAUCUGUUUACUAUGUUCUCCACUAAAUAUUCUUCCCCACCCUAGCUCUUUCUUCUGAAAUCCAACUCAUGAAGGCUUCAUAACCUCACUCACACAUUCUACCUCCCCCCUCUGACCCUCAUGACACUAUAGACCCUUUUCUGGCAUUCACGGUCUUAGAUUGGGAUUUUCUUUUUUUUUUUUUUUUUGAAUGAUUUUGUCCAACAUUCACUCUGAGAGGGCAGGGAUGUCUUCCUUUGGUCUCUCAUAAUCAAGUGAGCAAUAAAUUUCUUAAUUAAUUGUGUUCUUUUAAAAUU